rnacentral:rRNA from 1 species
CCGAUGGCGACCGGCGCACGGGUGAGUAACACGUAUCCAACCUGCCGAUAACUCGGGGAUAGCCUUUCGAAAGAAAGAUUAAUACCCGAUGGCAUAGUUCUUCCGCAUGGUAGAACUAUUAAAGAAUUUCGGUCAUCGAUGGGGAUGCGUUCCAUUAGCUUGUUGGCGGGGUAACGGCCCACCAAGGCAUCGAUGGAUAGGGGUUCUGAGAGGAAGGUCCCCCACAUUGGAACUGAGACACGGUCCAAACUCCUACGGAAGGCAGCAG